rnacentral:rRNA from 1 species
AUUGAACGCUGGCGGCAUGCUUUACACAUGCAAGUCGAACGGUAACAGGGUGCUUGCACCGCUGACGAGUGGCGAACGGGUGAGUAAUGCGUCGGAACGUGCCGAGUAGUGGGGGAUAACGCAGCGAAAGUUGUGCUAAUACCGCAUACGUACUGAGGUAGAAAGUGGGGGACCUUCGGGCCUCACGCUAUUCGAGCGACCGACGUCUGAUUAGCUAGUAGGUGAGGUAAAGGCUCACCUAGGCGACGAUCAGUAGCGGGUCUGAGAGGAUGAUCCGCCACACUGGGACUGAGACACGGCCCAGACUCCUACGGGAGGCAGCAGUGGGGAAUUUUGGACAAUGGGCGAAAGCCUGAUCCAGCCAUGCCGCGUGUCUGAAGAAGGCCUUCGGGUUGUAAAGGACUUCUGUCAGGGAGGAAAUCCCUAGUGCUAAUAACACUGGGGGAUGACAGUACCUGAAGAAUAAGCACCGGCUAACUACGUGCCAGCAGCCGCCGUAA